ensembl:lincRNA
CUGUAGUCCCAGCUACUUGGGAAGCUGAGACCGGGGAAUCACUUAAACCUGGGAAGUGGAGGUUGCAGUGAGCUGAGAUCGUACCACUGCACUCAAGCCUGGGCAACAGAGCGAGACUCUGCCUCAAAAAAGAAAAGAAAAGAAAUGACAAUUCCAAUGAACAGAGGAUUAGGAAAAGGCUGAUGUUUGCCCCAGGGACUCCUGGGAAAUGUGGUUUUCUCCUAUCUCCAGCAAAGGCUGAUGGGAGGUAACCAAGCCCCCUUCUCUUCUUGCCUCAGGGACUGGAAUUGACAUCCCUGUCCUGCUCCUUCUGAUUGAUGGUGACGAGAAGAUGUUGAUGCAAAUAGAGAAUGCCACCCAGGCUCGGCUCCCCUGUCUCCUGGUGGCUGGCUCUGGAGGGGCUGCAGACUGCCUGGCGGAGACCUUGGAAGACACUCUGGCCCCCGGGAGUGGGGGAGCCAGGCAAGGUGAAACCCAAGAUCGAAUCCGGCGUUUCUUUCCCAAAGGGGACCCUGAGGUCCUGCAGGCUCAGGUGCAGAGGAUUAUGACCCGGAAGGAGCUCCUGACAGUCUAUUCUUCUGAGGAUGGGGCUGAGGAAUUCGAGACCAUAGUUUUGAAGGCCCUCGUGAAGGCCUGUGGAAGCUCAGAGGCCUCAGCUUACCUGGACGAGCUGCGUUUGGCUGUGGCUUGGAACCGUGUGGACAUUGCCCAGAGUGAACUCUUUCGGGGGGACAUCCAGUGGCGGUCCUUCCAUCUCGAGGCCUCCCUCAUGGACGCCCUGCUGAAUGACCGGCCCGAGUUCGUGCGCUUGCUCAUCUCCCAUGGCCUCAGCCUGGGCCACUUCCUGACCCCGACGCGCCUGGCCCAACUCUAUAGCGCAGCGCCCCCCAACUCGCUCAUCCGCAACCUUUUGGACCAGGCGUCCCACAGCGCAGGCACCAAAGCCCCAGCCCUAAAAGGGGAAACUGCGGAGCCCCAGCCCCCUGAUGUGGGGCACGUGCUGAGGACGCUUCUGGGGAAGAUGUGUGCACCGAGAUACCCCGCCGGGGGCACCUCGGAACCUCACCCAGGCCAGGGCUUCGAGGAGAGUAUGUGUCUACUCCCGGACAAGGCCCCCUCAAAGCCCUCGCUGGACGCUGGCCUUGGGCAGGCCCCCUGGAGUGACCUGCUGCUUUGGGCACUGCUGCUGAACAGGGCACAGAUGGCCAUGUACUUCUGGGAGAAGGGCUCCAAUGCAGUUUCCUCAGCUCUUGGGGCCUGUUUGCUGCUCCGGGUGAUGGCACGCCUGGAGCCUGAUGCUGAGGAGGCAGUGCGGAGGAAAGACCUGGCAACCAAGUUUGAGGGGAUGGGCGUUGACCUCUAUGGUGAGUGCUAUCGCAGCAGUGAGGUAAGGGCUGCCUGCCUCCUCCUCCGUUGCUGCCCGCUCUGGGGGGAUGCCACUUGCCUCCAGCUGGCCAUGCAAGCUGAUGCCCGUGCCUUCCUUGCCCAGGAUGGAGUACAGUCUCUGCUGACACAGAAGUGGUGGGGACACAUGGCCAGCACCACACCCAUCUGGGCCCUGGUUCUUGCCUUCUUUUGCCCCCCACUCAUCUACACCCACCUCAUCACCUUCAGGUCAGUCCCCUGGGGUGACAGUGGUGGGAAUGGGGGUGGAGUGCUCAGUUUCUCCUUCCCGCUUACUCCGCCCACCUUUCUUCCCUGGUCUGCCCAUUAUACUCCUUCCCUGGGAAUGGGACUCUCUCUCCCUCCACUAAGGGAGUAUUGUGGGAGGUGAGUUUUGGGGGGAUCCUCCCUAUGGUGUCUCUCGUAGCAGUUUCUCUGCCUUUCUGGUCCUGGCUCUCGAGGAAGCUCCCUUUUGGGUGACGUUAAGGGGCCACCUCUCUGUCUGUCUGCCACGUGUCCGGGGGAAGAGGUUUGAGUUUUUCUGGAGAACUCCUCUCCACCUUCUCUUCCCCUCAUUUCUCACUCUGUGCCUCCCUCCUUGCCAGGAAAUCAGUAGAGGAGCCCACACAGGGGGAUCUGGAGUUUGACAUGGAUAGUGCUGUUAAUGGGGAAGGGCCUGUCAGGUGAGUGGACCCCCCAGCACUGUGUGGGGUGGGGACACCCUGGGCGGCUUCAGGACAUGUGCCACCUCCAUGCUGUUAGUCCCCUCUUGAGUUGCUACAAAGGAAUACCUGAGGCUGGGUAAUUUAUAAAGAAAAGAGGUUUCAUUGGUUAAUGGUUCUGCAGGCUGUACAGGAAGCAUAGUGCUGGCAUCUGCUACUGGUGAGCCCUCAGGACACUUCUGCUCAUGGCAGAAAGUGAGGGAGGAAUCGUUAUAGCUAACGAUUCUAUAGAUCAACGAGAUAGAAAAUUAACAAGGAUAUUCAGGACUUGAACUCAGACCCAAAACAAGUAAACUUAAUAAACAUUUAUAGAACUCUCCACUUCAAAUACACAAAACAUACAUUACCACCUCACACCUAUUCCAAAAGUGACUACAUAAUUGAAAAUAAAUCACUCCUCAGCAAUUGCAUAGCAUUUC